rnacentral:lncRNA from 1 species
CCAUCAACAUCAACAGGCCAGAACGACACGUCGAUCGUCUUGUCGCCUUCUGCUCCGAUCAUCUCCAGCACGUCACCUAUCGGGUUCCUGACCACCGUCCUGCCGGUGCGCUUCUCCUCCAUGGUAGGCGCCGGGCCGUAACCGACGAAAGCUCCGGCGGCGAACUCGUCGCGCUCCCCUCCCACGGGCGCAUUCACGUGGAUGCUAAACGGAGGAGGCGUGUCGUCCUCGAAGGUGACCUCCACCACCAGCACCUCGUCUUCUUCGUUCUUCUCGAUGCGACUCCUCGAGACCCUAGGCCUCGUCACGGACACCCUGACAGUCCCGUCCAGGAGCGCCGGGAGGCCGAGAGCUUCGCGGUCGUCGUCGCCAGGGCAGACGCAGCCCGACCUGAGCACGCAGUUGACGAAGCAGGUCAGGGACUCUGCGGUCGUGAGCCCGCCUCCGUGGGAGCACCGAUCGUAGCAGAGGCACGAGCCCGGCGCCGACGACACCUCGUCAACCCGUUGGAUGCACCCGUCCUUGCCGCCAUGGCCAGCUGCGGCUCCCAUGAACACGGUGGCCAGCAGCAACACGAAGAUACCUGGACCAUCAGCGGACGGCAUUGAGGAGGAUGAGACUAGGACAGCCACCAAUGGCUUUGAAUUGUUGUCGUUGUUGUGUGCAUAUAUUGUUUUCUUAUUUAUAAAGGGAGCCGU